rnacentral:rRNA from 1 species
AGUGAACGCUGGCGGCAGGCCUAAUACAUGCAAGUCGAACGGCAGCACAGUGGAGCUUGCUCCAUGGGUGGCGAGUGGCGGACGGGUGAGGAAUGCAUGGGAAUCUGCCCAGUCGUGGGGGAUAACGUAGGGAAACUUACGCUAAUACCGCAUGCGCCCUUCGGGGGAAAGCCGGGGACCUUCGGGCCUGGCGCGAUUGGAUGAGCCCAUGUUCGAUUAGCUAGUUGGCGGGGUAAAGGCCCACCAAGGCGACGAUCGAUAGCUGGUCUGAGAGGAUGAUCAGCCACACUGGGACUGAGACACGGCCCAGACUCCUACGGGAGGCAGCAGUAGGGAAUAUUGGACAAUGGGCGCAAGCCUGAUCCAGCCAUGCCGCGUGAGUGAAGAAGGCCCUCGGGUUGUAAAGCUCUUUUGUCCGGGAAGAAAAGCAUCGGGCUAAUACCUCGGUGUUCUGACGGUACCGGAAGAAUAAGCACCGGCUAACUUCGU